ACAAGAUCCACUAGGGGCACUUGCGUGCUCGUUUCCCACACUGAAUACAAGCGAGUGAGUGGAAGAACAGCGAUUUCGUCUCCUGUGAUCAUUUCUCUAUUUCCCUUCAUUAAGGGGUAACAGAUGUAAAAUCCUUCAAUUGUGAUAAGUUCUGCACUGCUAACAGCUGAGACCAACAUUAUCACCCUUGACCAGCACACACAGGACGGAUAUUUUCCAGAGGAAAUGCGCAGAAUCUCCCCAUCAGAAAAGGCUUUGAUGCAUGACCUGUCUGACUCGGCUGAUAAAUGAUUUAUCAAAGAGCGCAAACCGCCAAGCGAGGUGAGGACUAUGGAGGGAUGCAUCAACAGGAGCACUGAAUACAAGAGGACAACGUCGGAGAUCCAGAUGGAGCCAGAACAGGCCUUGAAAGAACGCAGUGGUGAAGAGGGACAGAGAAGAAAAGACAACUGACCUUUGAACCAGGAUGUUGAGCCCUGUCACAUUGACAAUAAUAGUUUAAUGAAAUUUGGUGGAGUUUUUUGUUUAUGGUUUAAGAGUAAGAGUGGUUACCCUGUUGGGUGUAGAGAAAAAUAUAUUAGUUUAGUUGGUGGUUAGUUUCCUGGAUCAUUGUAUAUUCAUUUUGUGUUUGUCACCCUGCUGUAGUUGCCUCGGUUUUUGUUCCAACUCAACUAAUUUGUUGAGUCAUUUUAGUAAUCACCACCCCAGCAGUGUUUUUUUACCCAUUUGUUUUGUCAGUUUCUUUACAGAUUCUCGCAUUAUGCCUAUUUUUUUGUCAUUCUGGUUUUCUCUAUCUGUACUUGUAAAUUUGCUAAUUUUUUCAUAAAUUAUUUUAGUCAUUAAACUGUUGUGCUUUCUUUUUG